rnacentral:rRNA from 1 species
CAGCCGCCGCGGUAAUACGGAGGGGGCUAGCGUUGUUCGGAAUUACUGGGCGUAAAGCGCGCGUAGGCGGCUUUGUAAGUCAGAGGUGAAAGCCUGGAGCUCAACUCCAGAACUGCCUUUGAAACUACAUCGCUUGAAUCAUGGAGAGGUUAGUGGAAUUCCGAGUGUAGAGGUGAAAUUCGUAGAUAUUCGGAAGAACACCAGUGGCGAAGGCGACUAACUGGACAUGUAUUGACGCUGAGGUGCGAAAGCGUGGGGAGCAAACAGG